rnacentral:rRNA from 1 species
CUUACGGAAGGAGCGCAUUUAUUAGACCAAGACCAAUCGGGCUCUGCCUGACUUUUGGUGACUCUGAAUAACUUUGCUGAUCACACGGUCUAGCACCGGUGACAUAUCUUUCAAGUGUCUGCCCUAUCAACUUUCGAUGGUAGUUUAUGUGCCUACCAUGGUUGUAACGGGUAACGGAGAAUAAGGGU